UACGUAGGGUGCGAGCGUUGUCCGGAAUUAUUGGGCGUAAAGGGCUCGUAGGCGGUCUGUCGCGUCGGGAGUGAAAACUCAGGGCUUAACCCUGAGCCUGCUUCCGAUACGGGCAGACUAGAGGUAGGUAGGGGAGAAUGGAAUUCCCGGUGUAGCGGUGAAAUGCGUAGAUAUCUGGAGGAACACCGGUGGCGAAGGCGGCAUCCUGGACCAUGACUGACGCUGAGGAGCGAAAGCCAGGGGAGCAAACGGG
rnacentral:rRNA from 1 species